GGGAGCUUGAAUAUUUAUUUUCAUUUUAAAAUCUCUCUCGCAUUUUCAGAAUAAAAACUUAUUUCUUUCGGUGUAUUUUUUGCAUGUGUUAGGCCACCAAUUUGCUCCUUUGGGAAGAAUUCAAUGGCUUCUCAUUCUCCAAAGAGUGAUGAUGAUACAGAGGGCAAGUUGGGAUCCAAAUGUCUUUAUAUCAUGGUCGGCAUGGAUGGUGCUCCAUACCAAAGGAAGAUUUAUCUCAAAACCUAUGGCAGUGAUAUGGAACUCUCUUUAGCAUUGGAAAAAAUGUUCAGUAGCUUUACAAUUGUUUAUUAAUUUAGCAAGAUUAAUACAGGAAUGAGCGGCAUUGGGAAAUGUCCACCAAUUCGCUUAUUCGGGAAGAAUUCAAUGGCUUCUCAUCCUCCAAAGAGUGAUGAUGAUGCAGAGGGCAAGUUGGGAUCCGAAUGUCUUUAUGUCAUGGUUGGCAUGAAUGGUGCUCCAUACAAGAGGAAGAUUGAUCUCAAAACCUAUGGCAGCGAUAUGGAACUCUCUUCAGCAUUGGAAAAGAUGUUCAGCUGUUUUACAAUUGAAAAUCUCUCUUUG